ACUUCAUAAAUCAGGAGUAAAAGAACUUGAACUCAAAGAUGAUUCAAUUGAAGAAUUCUCUCUUCUCAAUCUGACAAAAAGCUUAAGUAGUGCCUUCUUUCCUCAGUUCAGCCCAGAUGGAAAGUUACUUGUUUUUUUAUCUGCAAAAAGCUCUGUGGAUUCUGGGGCACACUCUUCAACUAAUUCACUUCACAGAAUCAAUUGGCUGACCACCCAUGGAAAGCUGUCCCCAUCUGAAA